CCCCCCCCCCUGUCCACUAACAACCCAACCCCCGACAUCUGUAAUACCUGAUGUAUCUAGAAUACCUCUUUUCUACCCUUACUACACACAACACACGUCGUAUAAUCGCUCACAUGUUUUGUAAGAAUACACUUUGAGUCGGAACAAAACGAGUCGCGUCGUGUGCUUUCGCGCGAUCGGUAUCAGACGUACACUAUUUUAAUAUACUUA